rnacentral:lncRNA from 1 species
AGAGACUAGCAUAAUGUAUAGCUACUAGGAUGUAGUAAACCUAAUCGUGUUUAUCUGUCUGCAUUUACAGCUGUUGUGUUUAACAGGACGCAGAAGUCAUGAUUUUCUUUCCCUGUCGCCCAGUGAAGCUGGCAGACUCCGCUCACUGAAAAUGCUCCAGUAACGCUGGGAGGAGAACCAAGACAGUUGCCAAGCUCGGGUCUCGGUGCACCAUCUCUUCUGAUCCCUCCCGCUUAAAAAGCUCACAGUUCAUCACGAGCAGAUCCGCCGAGCUCUCCGAUUGAUCCUGCUGAGCCACCCAGUUAGUGARAUGGUGAUGCUCUGAAUUCCCAAAGCCUUGAAAUUCCCAGGUUUCAGAAUUGUAUGCUUAUAUAAAACAGUCAUUUUUUUA